rnacentral:rRNA from 1 species
GUAGGUGGCAAGCGUUGUCCGGAAUUAUUGGGCGUAAAGCGCGCGCAGGUGGUUCUUUAAGUCUGAUGUGAAAGCCCCCGGCUCAACCGGGGAGGGUCAUUGGAAACUGGGGAACUUGAGUGCAGGAGAGGAAAGUGGAAUUCCACGUGUAGCGGUGAAAUGCGUAGAUAUGUGGAGGAACACCAGUGGCGAAGGCGACUUUCUGGCCUGUAACUGACACUGAGGCGCGAAAGCGUGGGGAGCAAACAGGGAUUAGAUACCCUGGUAGUCCACGCCGUAAACGAUGAGUGCUAAGUGUUGGGGGGGUUUCCCGCCCCUCAGUGCAGCAGCUAACGCAUUAAGCACUCCGCCUGGGGAGUACGGUCGCAAGACUG